GACGAACGCUGGCGGCGUGCUUAACACAUGCAAGUCGAACGGACAGGCCCUGCUUUUGUGGGGUGCUCGAGUGGCGAACGGGUGAGUAACACGUGAGUAUACUGCCCUUGACUUUGGGAUAACUUCAGGAAACAGGGGCUAAUACCGGAUAGGAGCUCCUGCUGCAUGGGGGGGGAUGGAAAGUUUCGGCGGUUGGGGCUGGUCUAGAGGCUUAUCAGCUGGUUGGUGGGGUAGUGGCUGUCCAAGGCUUCGACGGGUAGCCGGCCUUGGAGGGUGACCGGGGUCAUGGCGCCUGAGGGACGCCCCAGUCUGCUACGGGAGGCAGAGGUGGGAAAUAUGGCGCAAUGGGGGGACGCGUGAUGCAGCAACGCCGCGUGCGGGAUGACGGCCUUCGGGUUGUAAACCGAUUUCGCCUGUAACGAAGCGGGAGUGACGGUAAUGGGUAAAGAAGCACCGGCUAACUACGUG
rnacentral:rRNA from 1 species